rnacentral:rRNA from 1 species
UCGGGAAUUUUGGGCAAUGGGCGAAAGCCUGACCCAGCAACGCCGCGUGAAGGAUGAAGUAUUUCGGUAUGUAAACUUCGAAAGAAUAGGAAGAAUAAAUGACGGUACUAUUUAUAAGGUCCGGCUAACUACGUGCCAGCAGCCGCGGUAAUACGUAGGGACCAAGCGUUGUUCGGAUUUACUGGGCGUAAAGGGCGCGUAGGCGGCAAUUCAAGUCAUCUGUGAAAUCUCCGGGCUUAACUCGGAACGGUCAGAUGAUACUGCUUUGCUAGAGUGCAGAAGGGGCAAUCGGAAUUCUUGGUGUAGCGGUGAAAUGCGUAGAUAUCAAGAGGAACACCUGAGGUGAAGACGGGUUGCUGGGCUGACACUGACGCUGAGGCGCGAAAGCCAGGGGAGCAAACGGGAUUAGAUACCCCUGUAGUCCCUGAGCGGGCUGGCAAGGCGCAU